CUUGCCUGCUUGUGUAAUGGAUGGUACCUCUCUUUCUUUACUCUUUCAGGUUUUUCCUGGCUCACACAGCAGCAUCUUGUAACAUCAUAACAUCCUUUAUUUACACCCAUCUGAGGAGGAACUCAGACUCUGACCUCAACUGUAACUGGCAUGAAUAUGUCCCCUUGGGAAUUUUGGAUGUUGCAGUACUUGCUUGAUAAGCAUCCUCAUCUGGUGAUGAUACAGGAAAAGAAAACAUUCUCUUAACUCUUUCCUGGCUUGUGGUGGUUUUGAAGGAAAGUGAAUAAUUCCCUCUUUAACAAUCUGAAGGAAAAUACCUGUGAAAGG